AGUUCAAAACAAGAAAUUCACCUGGUUCCAUACUGUCUGCUGCCACAGAUCUCUGAAAAGCAAAAAGAGGUGAGCGAGGAGGCAGUUAAGAAAGGAAAUGGCAAUAUUGGUUUGACAGCACAAGAGUUUCUGUGAGAAGAUAACAUAUCACACAAGUCUCCUGGCCCAAGCAUUGUGUUAGUAGAUUCUUACUGUUCACAAGAGACUUGUAAGUAAGUUUAGUCAAUUAAACUAUUAAUUUGUUUGAUUUAUUUAAGUAUGCAUCUGAUAAUCGUGAGUCCUCAAGAGAAAAACAAAUUAAAUUUACCAAAUGAAUAUGAGAAUGAUUAUCACAGUAGUGAACACCACUUAAGCAGUAGUAAAAACAAAGCAUGAUCAAUAUUCAGGCUUUGUCGCUAUGUGAACCUACAAUACAGCUCAGAGGUACUUGGCCCUAAAUUCAUGCAAAAAGGGUGUUAAAAAAAGACGUGCAUAGGCAUGCAAUUUUUUCAUAUGUACAUUAAAAAAGGCAUGCGAUAGGAGCUCAUUAGUAUGUAUGAAACAGUCUUGUUUUCCUCUUCGUUUAACUUUGAAUAGUGUGUUAGAAUUAUAACAAAGGUGGGAUUCAGAUGUGGUGACUGUUAUGAGUAAUUUUUGUUGAAAGUAUAAGCUUCUGGAAAUCUCCAGGCUACUACAUCAUGCUAACAUUUGUACCAUAGAACUUCUCGAACAUCUCAUCAGAUAUUCCAUAAUACUACUAAAAUAGUUCUUUUGCAAGCUUCUGGAAUAUUCCAGAACACUUUGUAAAUGUAAAUAUGGACUCAGUGAUGUAGUAGUAGUUGUUGUUUUUGCGAGUGACCGACUGUUUGGAAAACUAUACUGUUAGAGAGAGCUAUGGUGGAAGAUUUCUAAUUUCAAGAAAUGUUGGAGGAAACUUUGAGUUCAGCUCAGUGGUGAGCUAAGAUGUAGACUGUAGUGAGCUUAAGGAAGUUUAUUGAGCAUAAGUACUGUACUGCCAAUAGGAGUUGUUUGUUAUUAAGAAUAUCCCUAGUUGUUUAAUAAAUAACAGAAGUUGAGUUU